UACGUAGGGUGCAAGCGUUAAUCGGAAUUACUGGGCGUAAAGCGUGCGCAGGCGGUUAUGUAAGACAGAUGUGAAAUCCCCGGGCUCAACCUGGGAACUGCAUUUGUGACUGCAUAGCUAGAGUACGGUAGAGGGGGAUGGAAUUCCGCGUGUAGCAGUGAAAUGCGUAGAUAUGCGGAGGAACACCGAUGGCGAAGGCAAUCCCCUGGACCUGUACUGAUGCUCAUGCACGAAAGCGUGGGGAGCAAACAGG
rnacentral:rRNA from 1 species